CCUACGGGAGGCUGCAGUGGGGAAUAUUGGACAAUGGGGGCAACCCUGAUCCAGCCAUGCCGCGUGUGUGAAGAAGGCCCUCGGGUUGUAAAGCACUUUCAGUGAGGAAGAACGCCUGGUGGUUAAUACCCAUCAGGAAAGACAUCACUCACAGAAGAAGCACCGGCUAACUCCGUGCCAGCAGCCGCGGUAAUACGGAGGGUGCGAGCGUUAAUCGGAAUUACUGGGCGUAAAGCGCGCGUAGGUGGCUUGAUAAGCCGGUUGUGAAAGCCCCGGGCUCAACCUGGGAACGGCAUCCGGAACUGUGAAGCUAGAGUGCAGGAGAGGAAGGUAGAAUUCCCGGUGUAGCGGUGAAAUGCGUAGAGAUCGGGAGGAAUACCAGUGGCGAAGGCGGCCUUCUGGACUGACACUGACACUGAGGUGCGAAAGCGUGGGUAGCAAACAGGAUUAGAUACCCUGGUAGUC
rnacentral:rRNA from 1 species